AAGACGAACGCUGGCGGCGCGUUUAAGCAUGCAAGUCGAGCGGCAAGGGCCUUCGGGCCCCUAGAGCGGCGGACGGGUGAGUAACACGUGGACAAUCCGUGCCCCCCGGCCCGGGAUAGCCCAGGGGAAACCUGGAUUAAUACCGGAUGAGACGGGACCCGCGAUGGCGGGAUCCGGGAAGGGCGCUGCGGCGCCGCCGGGGGAUGAGUCUGCGUCCCAUUAGCUAGACGCGGGGUAACGGCCCACCGUGGCGACGAUGGGUAGCCGGCCUGAGAGGGUGGACGGCCACAUUGGGAACUGAGACACGGUCCAGACUCCUACGGGAGGCAGCAGCUAAGAAUCUUCCGCAAUGGGCGAAAGCCUGACGGAGCCGACGCCGCGUGAACGAAGAAGGCCGUGAGGUUGUAAAGUUCUUUUCGGGAGGGGGAACAACCGUGGCAGGGAAUGGCCGCGGGAUGACGUGAAUCCCGGAAUAAGCCCCGGCUAACUACGUGCCAGCCGCUGC
rnacentral:rRNA from 1 species